rnacentral:rRNA from 1 species
UACGUAGGGUCCGAGCGUUGUCCGGAAUUAUUGGGCGUAAAGAGCUCGUAGGCGGUUUGUCGCGUCUGCUGUGAAAACUCAGGGCUUAACCCUGAGCCUGCAGUGGGUACGGGCAGACUAGAGUGUGGUAGGGGAGAUCGGAAUUCCUGGUGUAGCGGUGGAAUGCGCAGAUAUCAGGAGGAACACCGGUGGCGAAGGCGGAUCUCUGGGCAGUAACUGACGCUGAGGAGCGAAAGCGUGGGGAGCGAACAGG